AAUGCUAUGGAAGUUGCCAGAAAAAGAAUUCUAAGGAAUUGGUUCUUGGCAAAUCCUAAGGAAUUUGUCUCAGGCAUUUGUCUUCCUAAUGAACUGGUGGGGAAGUAGCUGUGUUGGUACAUCAUCUCCAAGGCAGGAUCCUGCCCUCUGAAGCUUGAGUGGCUCCCAAAGUCUCAAGCCCACUGUGCUGAUUUGAACAUUUGGCUCAGCCUUUUCUGGUCAGCACCAACGUUCACCUGGCCAUGCUGACGGCAGCAGGCAUGGAUCUGGCCAUUCCCACAGCCUGGUCACCCCAUGGUGGCCCUUGAUUGAGUUUGCCAUGGCACGGAGGGGGCCUCUCCUACUCACUGAUCUCCUUAUUGAGACAGAGUCUUGCUGUGUUGCCCAGGCUGGUCUCAAACUCCUGGGCUCAAGAAAUCCUCCCACCUCAGCCUCCCAAAGUGUUGGGAUUACAGGUUUAUGAGCAGAAACCAUUGCUUAAGAGAUACUCACCAUCAAGCAGAAUCAUGGGGGACAGAGCACCAUGAACUCAGGGAGCAAAGAGAACACUGUGGGGGUAUUCUUGGGGAUGGAAUCUCCACAUCAAAUCCAUCGGCAAG
rnacentral:lncRNA from 1 species